UACGGAGGGUGCAAGCGUUAUCCGGAUUCACUGGGUUUAAAGGGUGCGUAGGAGGGCAGGUAAGUCAGUGGUGAAAUCUUCGAGCUUAACUCGGAACUGCCGUUGAUACUAUCUGUCUUGAAUACCGUGGAGAUGAGCGGAAUAUGUCAUGUAGCGGUGAAAUGCUUAGAUAUGACAUAGAACACCAAUUGCGAAGGCAGCUCGUUACACGAAUAUUGACUCUGAGGCACGAAAGCGUGGGGAUCAAACAGGAUUAGAUACC
rnacentral:rRNA from 1 species